rnacentral:rRNA from 1 species
GGUUAAGCGACUAAGCGUACACGGUGGAUGCCCUGGCAGUCAGAGGCGAUGAAGGACGUGCUAAUCUGCGAUAAGCGUCGGUGAGGUGAUAUGAACCGUUAUAACCGGCGAUUUCCGAAUGGGGAAACCCAGUGUGUUUCGACACACUAUCAUUAACUGAAUCCAUAGGUUAAUGAGGCGAACCGGGGGAACUGAAACAUCUAAGUACCCCGAGGAAAAGAAAUCAACCGAGAUUCCCCCAGUAGCGGCGAGCGAACGGGGAGGAGCCCAGAGCCUGAAUCAGUGUGUGUGUUAGUGGAAGCGUCUGGAAAGGCGCGCGAUACAGGGUGACAGCCCCGUACACAAAAAUGCACAUAUUGUGAGCUCGAUGAGUAGGGCGGGACACGUGGUAUCCUGUCUGAAUAUGGGGGGACCAUCCUCCAAGGCUAAAUACUCCUGACUGACCGAUAGUGAACCAGUACCGUGAGGGAAAGGCGAAAAGAACCCCGGCGAGGGGAGUGAAAAAGAACCUGAAACCGUGUACGUACAAGCAGUGGGAGCCUCUUAAUGGGGUGACUGCGUACCUUUUGUAUAAUGGGUCAGCGACUUAUAUUCUGUAGCAAGGUUAACCGAAUAGGGGAGCCGAAGGGAAACCGAGUCUUAACUGGGCGUUAAGUUGCAGGGUAUAGACCCGAAACCCGGUGAUCUAGCCAUGGGCAGGUUGAAGGUUGGGUAACACUAACUGGAGGACCGAACCGACUAAUGUUGAAAAAUUAGCGGAUGACUUGUGGCUGGGGGUGAAAGGCCAAUCAAACCGGGAGAUAGCUGGUUCUCCCCGAAAGCUAUUUAGGUAGCGCCUCGUGAAUUCAUCUCCGGGGGUAGAGCACUGUUUCGGCAAGGGGGUCAUCCCGACUUACCAACCCGAUGCAAACUGCGAAUACCGGAGAAUGUUAUCACGGGAGACACACGGCGGGUGCUAACGUCCGUCGUGAAGAGGGAAACAACCCAGACCGCCAGCUAAGGUCCCAAAGUCAUGGUUAAGUGGGAAACGAUGUGGGAAGGCCCAGACAGCCAGGAUGUUGGCUUAGAAGCAGCCAUCAUUUAAAGAAAGCGUAAUAGCUCACUGGUCGAGUCGGCCUGCGCGGAAGAUGUAACGGGGCUAAACCAUGCAC